GCCUGGGUGGCUUAGUGGUUGAGUGUCUGCCUUCAGCUCAGGCCCUGGUCCCAGGGUCCUGGGAUCAAAUCCCAUAUCAGGCU
rnacentral:tRNA from 1 species